rnacentral:rRNA from 2 species
AAAUUGAAGAGUUUGAUCAUGGCUCAGAUUGAACGCUGGCGGCAGGCCUAACACAUGCAAGUCGAACGGUAACAGGAAGCAGCUUGCUGCUUCGCUGACGAGUGGCGGACGGGUGAGUAAUGUCUGGGAAACUGCCUGAUGGAGGGGGAUAACUACUGGAAACGGUGGCUAAUACCGCAUAACGUCGCAAGACCAAAGAGGGGGACCUUCGGGCCUCUUGCCAUCAGAUGUGCCCAGAUGGGAUUAGCUUGUUGGUGAGGUAACGGCUCACCAAGGCGACGAUCCCUAGCUGGUCUGAGAGGAUGACCAGCCACACUGGAACUGAGACACGGUCCAGACUCCUACGGGAGGCAGCAGUGGGGAAUAUUGCACAAUGGGCGCAAGCCUGAUGCAGCCAUGCCGCGUGUAUGAAGAAGGCCUUCGGGUUGUAAAGUACUUUCAGCGGGGAGGAAGGUGUUGCGGUUAAUAACCGCAGCAAUUGACGUUACCCGCAGAAGAAGCACCGGCUAACUCCGUGCCAGCAGCCGCGGUAAUACGGAGGGUGCAAGC